GAAAAUUGAGAUAACAUUAAAUUACAGCGCAGGGUUGUAAAAAAACAUGGAAUUUAUUAUUACAUUUAAAAUUGUACUCUUCAGCUUAUCACAAUCAACCUCAUUUUCCAAAUUAAGAAAUUACUAAUUCAGUUAUCCAACUGUGACGUCAUUGCCCUUGGCAAACUGCAUUGUCCUUAUCCUGAAAACUAAAAAAAAAUCGGAACGACAUUCAAACUUUAUGAGCGCCAUAUCGCCCUCACACUCACCCGCACGAUGCAUCAACUGUCAACUCCCCGGGUUGUCCUUAAAAAUUGUGCCAAGUUUCGCUUCUUGGGGAAAUGGAUGGGGAAAAAGUGGAAAAAUUGGACUCGGCGAUAGCAAACGACGACUUUGGUCCUUCGGAGCAGCAGUUUUGCUUCUUUGUCACCAGCGCCAUUUGAGCCAACGAGAACGGUCUUGAAAGUUUUCGCUCUCUUUUUUUUUUGCUUGCAGCUUUUUAUUUUUCUAUGGCCUGGGGCCUGGUUGCGAAGCGGUUUAUAAUGAAAAAGCACGGAGAGAAAAUUUUAGCUCUCGUUAUCUAGCCUUGGUUCUGAAGGACUUUCGUAAAUGAUGCGAAAAUUUAGAGAUAUUUAUCAUCGCUGAAUGGGGCUAUCUAGCCCAGAAUAAAUUAAUGACCGUUGCAUUGCAAUCUUAUUUAAAUAAUCUUAUCAAAGCUGAACCCAAUCUGUCGUAAUUGAUGCAUCUGAAACAAAUGCAAUGUUCGAGGUUAGAUUACUCUUGAGUUCCAUAUUGAAAACGCAUUUGCAGCAAAUACAAAUACCUUCUAAUUGAUGUUUGCGAGCAAUUCUCUUAAGAUUGAGCAUUUUUUAUACAUUUUUUUUUUACUUUUUCAUACAAUUUUGACAGCUGUCCAUACAAAAAGUAGAAGUCAUGGCCAUGCUUGAAUUUGCUUCAAGAUAUUCAACAUUGGACCGAUGGUUGCUAAGAUUCAACCUCUGAAAGAAAAGUCAAAAUAGCGUCGAAUUUUCAGUGACGAGAACAUAAUGAAUAUCCGUUCGAUUUGCAAUGUCAAAAAAUAAAGCAUAGUGAAAUUUUCCGAUCUUUCGAAUAAAAAUAUUUUCAACUGUAACAUUUGAAAAGUCCCAAUUGUUUUUUCGACAACAUCAUUUUUUCAUGUACUUUAAGUCACGAUUUUUUCGCGAAAUUGGCAACCCUGCCAUAUAAUUUUUGACCAGAAAAAAAUGCAUUUAUGUGAAAUAAAAAGAGUGAUAAAGUACAUGAUUUUUUUUUUUUUAGUUUUCAGAACAUCUAAGAAUUGAGGAAACAAAAUCUUCGUAAAAAAAUCUUUUUUCAGUACUAUACAUUUGAGUUCACAAAAAAUCCAAAUUAUUUUUAACGAGUCUAAAUAUCAAAAAAUCAAACCAUCCACAUUAACGACCCCCGGGUCUUUUGUGGUCUCUAUUGCAAGUUUCUGCUCGAACCUACACAGAAAAAAAUAUGUAAAUUUACACAGCACGUAAUUACUGUUUCUUAUGUAAACUCACUCAAUGUAAUGUUGAGAUAUGAUGUAAAGCGCAAAAAGUCAUGGAAAUUACUCUAAUGUAAAUCUAAAUCUAAUGUAAAUCAUGAAUCUAAUGGAAACGUUGAGCAUGGAAACUCAAAUCUGAUGAAUUUCUAUCCGUGUUCGGCUUCCUGUAAAUUCCUAUUUAAUGCACCCAACUGGCAGUCGCAUGAUUGUGAUGCAUGGCGGCAUGAAAGUAUAUCAGAAUCUGCAUGAAAUCUGUCCUCAUGCAUUUUUUGCGAUAUAGGAGUAUGACAUUUUUGCCCGUUACCGACAAUUAUCGACAAUACCGACGGCUUUUUGGUUGUAUUUCACAAAAAAAACACUUAGCAGAACGAGGAUUGAACCACCAACUUCUUGGUUAUUGAUCCGACACGCUACCACCGCGCCAUGGACGCUUGAUGAAAAGUGAGUGAAAGAGCACCAACAUAUGCUUCUCUUUGGAGUGUUGCUCGGGGACGGGCCAGCUUUAUAUGUGUUGGUGAGAACUGCAGAUCGCUGAAAUUUUUACACGCGGGCAAAAAUGAUCUACGGGCUUGCUGCAAAAAAUGUUAUAAAAUAUGACAUUUUCUGCAGCAAAUCCAAUGUUGCAGAUUUUGAGAUAUAUUUUUCCUUUGGAUGCACCCAACUGGCAGUCGCAUGAUUGUGAUGCAUGGCGGCAUGAAAGUAUAUCAGAAUCUGCAUGAAAUCUGUCCUCAUGCAUUUUUUGCGAUAUAGGAGUAUGACAUUUUUGCCCGUUACCGACAAUUAUCGACAUUACCGACGGCUUUUUGGUUGUAUUUCACAAAAAAAAAACACUUAGCAGAACGAGGA